rnacentral:rRNA from 1 species
GUUUGUACAGGAUAGGUAGGAGCCUUAGAAGCGUGAGCGCUAGCUUACGUGGAGGCAUUGGUGGGAUACUACCCUAAUUGUAUUGGAUUUCUAACCCGCAGCACUUAUCGUGCUGGGAGACAGUGUCAGGCGGGCAGUUUGACUGGGGCGGUCGCCUCCUAAAGAGUAACGGAGGCGCUCAAAGGUUCCCUCAGAAUGGUUGGAAAUCAUUCAUAGAGUGUAAAGGCAUAAGGGAGCUUGACUGCGAGACCUACAAGUCGAGCAGGGUCGAAAGACGGACUUAGUGAUCCGGUGGUUCCGCAUGGAAGGGCCAUCGCUCAACGGAUAAAAGCUACCCCGGGGAUAACAGGCUUAUCUCCCCCAAGAGUUCACAUCGACGGGGAGGUUUGGCACCUCGAUGUCGGCUCAUCGCAUCCUGGGGCUGUAGUCGGUCCCAAGGGUUGGGCUGUUCGCCCAUUAAAGCGGUACGCGAGCUGGGUUCAGAACGUCGUGAGACAGUUCGGUCCCUAUCCGUCGUGGGCGUAGGAAAUUUGAGAGGAGCUGUCCUUAGUACGAGAGGACCGGGAUGGACAUACCUCUGGUGUACCAGUUGUCGUGCCAACGGCAUAGCUGGGUAGCUAUGUAUGGACGGGAUAAGUGCUGAAAGCAUCUAAGCAUGAAGCCCCCCUCGAGAUGAGAUUUCCCAACUUCGGUUAUAAGAUCCCUCAA